CGCACGACUCUCGGCAACGGAUAUCUAGGCUCUCGCAUCGAUGAAGAACGUAGCAAACUGCGAUACUUGGUGUGAAUUGCAGAAUCCCGUGAACCAUCGAGUCUUUGAACGCAAGUUGCGCCCGAAGCCAUUAGGCCGAGGGCACGUCUGCCUGGGCGUCACGC
rnacentral:rRNA from 1 species